rnacentral:rRNA from 1 species
AACGAACGUUGGCGGCGUGGAUUAGGCAUGCAAGUCGAGCGAAUCCCCGCAAGGGGGGAAGCGGCGAAAGGGGCAGUAAGGCAUGGGUAACCUACCCUGGGGACUGGGAUAGCCCUUCGAGAGAAGGGGUAAUACCGGGCGAUGUGCCGGGCCGGCAUCGGUCAGUCACCAAAUGAGUUUCGCCCUGGGAGGGGCCCAUGUGAUAUUAGCUAGUUGGUGAGGUAACGGCUCACCAAGGCGAAGAUGUCUAGCGGGUGUGAGAGCACGACCCGCGCCACUGGCACUGAGACACUGGCCAGACACCUACGGGUGGCUGCAGUCGAGGAUCUUCGGCAAUGGGCGCAAGCCUGACCGAGCGACGCCGCGUGUGCGAUGAAGGCCUUCGGGUUGUAAGGUACUGUCGAGAGGGAGAAAAGCGAAAGCUUGAUCUAUCUCUGGAGGAAGCACGGGCUAAGUUCGUGCCAGCAGCCGCAGUAA